GGAGAUUUGGAUUAGAACCAGGCCCCAUGAAGACAGGCACAGGGAGGACCACGUGAUGACAGAUGCGGAGAUGUGAGUGAAGUGUCUGUCUGCCAAGGAAUGCCGGCAAUACCGGAAGCGAGGAAGAGCUUGUCUGUGAGCUCAUGAAGCCGG